AAUCUUAGAUCCAGGUCAGUUUUCUGUGCUUUAUUUCCAAAUCUUAGAUCCAGGUCAGUUUUCUGUGCGUUAUUUCCAAACCUUAGAUCCAGGUCAGUUUUCUGUGUGUUAUUUCCAAACCUUAGAUCCAGGUCAGUUUUCUGUGCGUUAUUUCAUUUCCAAAUCUUAGAUCCAGGUCAGUUUUCUGUGCGUUAUUUCAUUUCCAAAUCUUAGAUCCAGGUCAGUUUUCGGUGCGUUAUUUCAUUUCCAAAUCUUAGAUCCAGGUCAGUUUUCUGUGCGUUAUUUCAUUUCCAAAUCUUAGAUCCAGAUCAGUUUUCUGUGCGUUAUUUCCAAAUCUUAGAUCCAGGUCAGUUUUCUGUGCGUUAUUUCCAAAUCUUAGAUCCAGGUCAGUUUUCUGUGCGUUAUUUCAUUUCCAAAUCUUAGAUCCAGGUCAGUUUUCUGUGCAUUAUUUC